rnacentral:piRNA from 1 species
UGGACUUGAACUCAGAGAUCCUCCUG